rfam:Salmo salar isolate Sally breed double haploid chromosome ssa01, whole genome shotgun sequence.
AAUGCACCAAUUUGUAAGUCGCUCUGGAUAGGAGCGUCUGCUAAAUGACUUAAA